UGAAGAUUGUAUUGUUCAAAAACAGGAUCUCUCUCCCCAGAAGAAACUAUUAAGGAAAGUAUGAGAUUUUUCCCAAAAAUGAUAAAGGGAAUUCUGGUGUAAAUAUUUCCUGCCCUUUGGUUUGGUUACUUAACCCAGGAUGACAGUCUUUCUUUUAAAAUCACAUCCAGCCCACAGCACAGAUUUGGCAGGUCGCUCACUAACACCCCGGGACAGGAGUCGCUGGCGCCGAGUCACCUGUCCUGGGAACACUGCUCCCCCGUCUGCUGCUUUCAGUCUCUGUGUUUUCUUCUGCUGCUUGUCUUGCUGGAGGGGAGGUUACCGGCACUCUUGGCUGCAGAAUGAGGCAAGUUCAGGGACAAAAUUAGAAUCUGGGCAGAUCUCAACAGGCUGGGACCCAGGUCGCUGACAUUUCACUGGGAUAAAUAUAGGGUCUUAUGCAUUGGCUUUUAAACAGAGAAAACCUCCCCUGGUGUAAUUUGAGAGGGGUUCUGUCAAGCCGGAUAAAUGUAGGUUUUCAACUGUCCUGCACUAACCUCCUCCUGGAAUUUGGGGCCAGUUCUUGAAAAGACCUGAGUGUCACCAUCCUUCACAGAGCUCCCUCCUUAAGCUAGAAGACAGCUUGCUGGGCCCUGGGACCCAGCCAUGGCUGAGCCUGGGAAGGAGACAGACAAGAAGGAAGGAGGCAGAGAUAACAACGUGGGGUGAUCAGCAUGGCAGGGCGCCUGCUGGGACGCAGUGACCGGUCCCCAUCGAGAGCCCAGUGUGAGCGCAGCCGCGGCCGCCCCGACUGCGACCCCAGCCCUCAGUGCUGCCACCCGGGACUGCCGCACUAGCUGGGAAGACACUUCAAACCCUUAACAUCAGCCAGCGUAAAACGAAGUCUCACGUGACGGUGGAGGAGGGAACUUUCUGGAAGUGAGACUUGGGCACAGCGUUGCCCCGUGACCGAGACAUCUGCUGGACACGCCAGCCUUGCAGCGCUGGGCGACCACUGCCGGGUCAGCCCAGAUGAGCCAUGGUGCCUUCCGCAACACCGAGGCCUGGAAUUAAAGCUGGUAAAGGUGAGAAAGAAGACAGAGGCCCGUGACCUCAGGAGAUGGUGGUGACAGAAAUCCCAGCUGCGGGUCACAUGAGUAUCUCAGGUCAACUGUGGCUCAUCAGCAGCUGCAUCCCAUCAGGUGCCAGAUGUUCUGUCUAUGAAUUGCUUCUGGCACAGGUUUACGAAGUGAAUUGUUGAGGCGUUUUCGUACAGCCAUUUGGAAGCUGUAGGCUCCAGGAAGUGGUUUGGGGGCUCUAUUUUAAGGGCUUUAAUGGACCGUUAGGAACCCACGUCCUUUUGUAGUGAAAGCAGCGACUGUCUGCCAUGGUUUCUCCCCGUGCCUAAUCCCGGCAUCAGAUACUUGGCUGCAGGAUGCUGGGCCUUCCAUCCUCAUCAGCCAGUCCUGCCCUGACCAGCCUUCAUGGCCUGGUGGAGAAGGGUGACCACGGGUUCUAGGACUUGGACCGCUGUCAGACGUGGUGAGCCGGUGCUGUGGGAGCCAUCGGAGAGGACCUGAGUCAGGAAGGGCCCACGCAGGGGCCUCGGAGCUGCACGUUGCCAGCUGUGAAAGUGAGCUUGGGGUGGAGACAGUGAAAAGGCCUGUUGCCAGGAGAGUGUCGCUCUUCCUGGGUGUUGGGGCCUCCACUGCGGGGCACCUGUAGGAUGUACAGGAGGCAGCCAGAGGACAAAGCUGCCAUGCAGGUGGGCGCACGCUGUCCUGCAGGCAUCGGGGAUGGGGCAGCGCGUUUAUUGAGAGAGUCGUGAUCCAGAGCUUGUCGGGGCUCAUGGCCAAGGCCCACAUGAAAGGAGGGAUUCACACCAGGACACUUUCUGUGCUGGAUCAUCUGUUAGCCAGAAUUACUGUCUCCCUUUGGCUUCCUCUGAAAGGAUUUGGGUGUCGGUGGCCUGUAUGGUGGGCAGAGGUGUGGACUUUCCUGGAAAUAAGCAUGGGGAAUUGGUGAUGUGCGGAGCGGGAAGUCUAAGGAUCCUGGGAUGAGUGUGAGACACACACACAGGUACACGCGGUAUGACAGAUGCUGUAUGGUCAGUUUUCAAGGUGGAGUGGACAUGAGGAGAAGGACUUGAGUCCCUCCUUUGUGGGGCCAGGUGGGGACCAAGACAGUGCUCCCUCACAGCCUGCCUGUGAUACUCGGGUCACUGGGGAGCUGUGCUUGUCUGGACCCUCAUGCUGCUUCAGAAAGAGGCUCUGAAGUUACAGGACCCCCAGCCAGGAGCAGAGGCUGCUCACUGCACAGCGUCUGUCACUCUCCCCGGUGUGCCCAGGGAGCCACCACUUCUGAACUUCCUGUUUAUUCUGUGAAGGUGGAUCUUUGUUCCAAAUCUGGUCUGGAAAUUUGUUCCCCAGAAAUGAAGAUGUUUGUGGGAUUAGGCAGGAAUGCAGCUUUGAGCUGAGAGUCACAAAAGCAGAGUGUGUUUAAUUCAUUUCACACUAUUAUGUGCCUCUCAUGCUUUUCUUGAGAAAAGCUCCAGUUUUACUGUAGUGCCUGUUACUUCACUUUUGUAAACCUGCGACCAAAAGAUUUUUUUUUCUAUAAGGGUCCAGAUAGUAAAUGUUUUUGGUUCCAGGGGCCAAGUGGUCUCUGUUGCUGCUACUCACCUCUGCAAGUAGCCAUAGACAAUAUGUAAAUGAGUGGGCAUGGCUGCACACCAGUACAACUUGUUUACAAAACAAGUGGACACACCACAGAGAAACAGAAAGGAUUACCAGGAAACACUGCAGACACUGUGUGCCAGUAACCUAGAUGAAAGAAAGGACUGAUUCUCAGAAGGACUCAGAUGACUGAAAUAGACUCAAGAAGCAGAAAAUCUGAACAGGUCUACACAUUAAGACGUCGAAUUAGUAACGUAAAGCAGUCCAGAGGGAAAACCUGACCUGACGGCUUCGCUGGCUGAUUCUACCAAAUACUCAAGGAGGAGGAAAGAACACUUCUCAGUUCAUUCUACGAGGCCAGUAAUACCCAGAUACCAAAACCAGACAAAGACCCUACAGGCUACAAUCCCCAGUGAAAUAGAUGAAAAAAAUCUUCAGCAAUAUACUAGCGAACUGAAUCCAGCAACAUAUGAAUGUCAUUAUACACCAUGACCAAGUGGGAUUUAACUCAGGAAUACAAGGUAAGUUUCAUAUCUGAAAAUCAGUUAACAUAACAUACAAUAUUAAUAGAAUGAAAGACAUAAACCCUAUGAUCAUAUCAACAGACACAGAAAAAACAUAUGACAAAAUCCAACAUACUUUUAUGAUAAAAAUGCUCAACAAACUACGAAUUGAAGGGAACUUUCACGACCUAAUAAACGGCAUCUAUGAAAAACACAUAGUUGUUAUCUUUUCUAGUGGUGAAAGACUAAAAGUCUUCCCCUCAAGACCAAGACCAAGACAAGAAUAUCUACUCUUGCCUCUUCUAUUUAAGCAGUAGAAGGU